rnacentral:pre_miRNA from 14 species
UUCUUGUGUUAUUGAAAGACCCCCCCGGAGUGGGGAGACCCUCACUCAAGUCUCGGGAUGACGCGACCCCCCAAGAACUCACACAAGACC